rfam:Triticum aestivum genome assembly, contig: Triticum_aestivum_CS42_TGACv1_scaffold_321362_4BL
AUAAUACUCCCUCCGUCCGGAAUUACUUGUCAUGAAAAUGGAUGUGUCUAGAACUAAAAUACAUCUAGAUACAUCCAUUUCAAUGACAAGUAUUUUCGGACGGAGGGAGUAGUAG